CGGCGGACGGGGGAGGGGCGGCGCCCGGCGGACGGGCCCCGGGGAGUCCGCGGGUGGCAGGCGGGCGACUAGCGCGGCAGCCGGAGGGCAUCCCCGCCCCGCCCGGGACCCCGGGAAGCAAGAGUAAUUUCAAGGCAGGCCCAGCAGUGAGGACUUGAAGCCCAUCUUAAGAUGUCUCAGGUGUCAGUUUUCCCCUCCUCCUCUUAUUCAAGCUCACACCCCUUAUGCCCUCUCCUACCAGCAUCUUAGUGAACGAGAUAGAAUUUGCUGAAGGGGAGACGUGAUUUAUGUCACGUGGGCUGUAGCAGCUGGAACCCCGCUACGACACACCUCUUUCUCCAGAGUACACACUCUCCGCUUCUGCCACAGGGAUCUCUUCCCAUCCCCUACCCCAUCCUACCUCCCAGCCUCCAGCUUUCCUGCUCUUCACCUUUCCCCCCACCAGCCCUAUGUAGACUCCUCAACCCUUCAUUAUUCAGAGGAAUGCAUUUCAUCCUAGUUUCUACAUCCAAACCUGUGCCCAAUGAAUGACCAUGUUCAGCCAAACAGCAAGUUCUUCCAGUUACAGGACCUUCCCUCUUCAGGAAAUAGAAGGCGAUUAUAAAUAAUAUUUUUCUUUUGUAAACCUAAUUAACACAAAACGACUAAAUGGGUUUUUUCAUGAACUCUUCGUGUGGAGCUUGUUGGAGCCAGCUUUUGAAGAGUACAGCGGACACAGGUCUGCAAGGCAGGGUACAAAGAAGACGUCCAGGAGGGGAUUGCCAGCUGCUGUCCUGCUCUGGAUGAACUAGGCUCCCAGAACCGGGGAACAGGCUAUGCUCAAUAACCAAAAGACCCCAGAAGACAGUGACUCGACAAGAAAUUUCUCUGUCACUCAGUAGUCCAGUAAGGAGGAUGUCCGGGAUGGGGAAGUAGCUCUGCUUCACUGGUUCAACCCAGGACCCAGGUUCCUUUCAUCCUAGUGUGCCACCAACUCAUUGUUGGCAUGUUUGGGGCCGGCUCUCGUGGCCACAUCUGUGUUCCAGGCCUCUGGAAGGAGAAAGAGAGGAAAGAGGAAGUGGACAAGUGGCCGCCUUUGAAAGAUGGAACACGAACAUUAUACUCCUAACUUCCAUUCACAUCCCAAGAACCUGGACCCAUAGUCACAUCUACUGCAAGGAGGCUGGAGACUGUACUCCCUAAUUGGUUAGGUGUGUGCCCAGCUAAAACUCAGUGUGGGGUGAGAAGGGCUUCUGUUACUAAAAGGAAGAGAAGAAAUGGACAUGAAGAUGAAGAACAGCUCCCACCACACCUCCCUAUCCUUAUGUGGGGAUAAGAGACCCUACGGAUGUGCCACUCUAGUAAUCUCCAGUUUCUUCAAAUUCCCUGAAUAUGCAUUUCUGUGUCCCACCUCCACGACUGUUCACGGCUGGGACAUGCAUGUGUAGUGGUGAGCCAGCUUUUACCAAACAAAUGAGGACAGCACAAUGGAUGAUUCAAUGGUGGAGUAAUGAGACAGAAGAAAGGUACGGGAUCCCUGGAUAGCUGAGUGAAGCCGAGCCACGUGCAUCCUGGACUUUCUGCCUGCCUCUGCUGUGUUUUGGGAGAGAAAUAAACCUCCAGCUUGUUUAAGCCAC